rnacentral:rRNA from 1 species
AUUGAACGCUGGCGGCAGGCCUAACACAUGCAAGUCGAGCGAGCGGCGGACGGGUGAGCAAUGUAUGGGCACUGCCUGAUGGAGGGGGAUAACUACUGGAAACGGUAGCUAAUACCGCAUUCCAUCAGAUAACCCAUAUGGGAUUAGCUUGUAGGUAAGGUAACGGCUUACCUAGGCGACGAUCCCUAGCUGGUCUGAGAGGAUGAUCAGCCACACUGGGACUGAGACACGGCCCAGACUCCUACGGAGGCAGCAGUGGGGAAUAUUGCACAAUGGGCGCAAGCCUGAUGCAGCCAUGCCGCGUGUAUGAAGAAGGCCCUAGGGUUGUAAAGUACUUUCAGUGGGGAGGCGUUACCGACAGAAUAAGCACCGGCUAACUCCGUGCCAGCAGCCGCGGUAAUUC